CUAAAUCCCCUUUUUUUAUGGGAAGAUGUUGUGGCUAUUUAUUAAACUUUUAUGGCACAAUCCAGAGCACUCACAAUACAAACAGGUGGUACAUUAAGCCAAGUUUUGCAUAAUCGUAAGCCACAGCCAUCUCUAGCUAACUUGUGAGCAACUUCAUUAGCAGUACGUCUAGUUCACUAACUUUGAAUGCCUCAAAAGUUCUUAGCUUACCCUUGAUCUCCUCAAUCAAGUGUCCAUGCAACGACCUAUCCCUUACAUUUGAGUGCAACGACCUAUCUAAGUAGGAUCCUCGGUUUCAGCAUUUCCAUUGUAAUCUCCACUGCACGCCUGCAAGCCAUCAGUUCAGCACACUCGGGAUCUAGGAUAUGGGGGCUUCCUGGCUGGAGCACUACCGAAUCCAUGUAGGCAAUGCGAGCUACUAUCUCACGUAAAGCGAGACAUAGCUACGCCCGCUCUUGUGUGCAUCAUGUUGGGUCCGCAGAGAAGCCGCUAAGACGCUCACAUGUGCGGGGCCCAGUACCGCACCACUGCUCCUCUGCACUUCAGCAAAACAACAAGAAAAAAAAUUAUUGACUUCGUUAGGAAAUGCGGCUAGAAAGAUUUUAAUAUAUUAUUAAUUUUUUUGUUGUGGUAGAGAUCUCUAUAUUGAAAAAGCAUGACUACUAAAUUAUAUUCAUGAAUUUUAACAAAUAUUCAAUAUUUUAUAAAACAUUCAUGUUUUAGAAAAUAUUCAUGAAUUAAACAAGUUCAUGUAUUAGAAAAGGUGAAGGAAAAAACUAGAAAGAAAUAAGGCAAACCGAAAAAAUAGAGAACAAAAAAAUCCAAAAGAAGACCUUGUUAGUUUUCUCAAGCUUGGGUUGCUUGCCUCGGAAUCUAGAAGAAAAUUGGUGGAGGAAAAAUAUAAAUAAAAACCGCAAUAAAAAGGUUGCGGCCACCUGGUGAUAAAGAUUGAAGGCUUAAGCCAUGCACAUAUUUAUUAGACAGAAACUUACUCACAUAAGCCAAGGUGCCUUUGUUGCCGACGUUGUCAACGCUUCGAAUGGUUGCAGAUCGCCGUCGUAUUGUUUAUGCACGUCCUUGAUCUUGUCGAGGCUCCUCGUUCUCUCGGGGAUCUCAAGAACUAGCGCUUUCACGGACAUCACUUCUUCUGUUACCGCAUCGUGAAUUUGGGCUUGAAGAGGUAGUCUGGUAGAUCGAGCGUGGGAAGUAGGCUCUGAUACUACUUGUUAACAAUUUGAGCUUAUGUUCCUCUCAGUUGACCUCAACACACAUUGAUUUCAUAGAAGCCACUAGAGUUUGAGACUUGUUGGUGGAGAAGAACAGUAGAAAGGGGGAGGAUGGCCAUCGCAACACAGUUUGUUAUCAAUCGAUGCCUUCCUCAAUGCGCUAGAUAUAUUAAUAGUUGGUUUAUAUUGCUUGGUGCAACCUCACCACCUUAUCCACAUCCAACCCAUAAGCAUUGUUAGUUUUUGUACCCUCGGUAAUGUACUUGCUGAGUCCAAACGA
rnacentral:lncRNA from 1 species